CAGGAUGAACGCUAGCUACAGGCUUAACACAUGCAAGUCGAGGGGUAGCAGGGUAGCAAUACCGCUGACGACCGGCGCACGGGUGAGUAACACGUAUCCAACCUUCCCAUAACUCAGGGAUAGCCUUUCGAAAGAAAGAUUAAUACCUGAUAGUACUUUUUCAAGGCAUCUUGAGAAAGUUAAAGAUUUAUUGGUUAUGGAUGGGGAUGCGUUCCAUUAGAUAGUUGGUGAGGUAACGGCUCACCAAGUCUUCGAUGGAUAGGGGUUCUGAGAGGAAGGUCCCCCACAUUGGUACUGAGACACGGACCAAACUCCUACGGGAGGCAGCAGUGAGGAAUAUUGGUCAAUGGGCGAGAGCCUGAACCAGCCAAGUAGCGUGAAGGAAUGAAGGUCCUAUGGAUUGUAAACCUCUUUUAUAGUAGAAUAAAGUGAUCCACGUGUGGAUUUUUGUAUGUAUACUAUGAAUAAGGAUCGGCUAACUCCGUGCCAGCCGCCGC
rnacentral:rRNA from 1 species